rnacentral:rRNA from 1 species
GACGAACGCUGGCGGCGUGCUUAACACAUGCAAGUCGAACGGUAAGGCUCCAGCUUGCUGGGGUGCACGAGUGGCGAACGGGUGAGUAACACGUGGGUGACCUGCCCUGCACUUCGGGAUAAGCCUGGGAAACUGGGUCUAAUACCGGAUAGGACCGCACCGUGAGGGUGUGGUGGAAAGUUUUUUCGGUGUGGGAUGGGCCCGCGGCCUAUCAGCUUGUUGGUGGGGUAAUGGCCUACCAAGGCGGCGACGGGUAGCCGGCCUGAGAGGGUGGACGGCCACAUUGGGACUGAGACACGGCCCAGACUCCUACGGGAGGCAGCAGUGGGGAAUAUUGCACAAUGGGCGGAAGCCUGAUGCAGCGACGCCGCGUGGGGGAUGACGGCCUUCGGGUUGUAAACUCCUUUCACCAUCGACGAAGGGUUUCUGACGGUAGAUGGAGAAGAAGCACCGGCUAACUACGUG